AACAGGAUUAGAUACCCUGGUAGUCCACGCCGUAAACGAUGCCGACUUGGAGGUUGUGCCCUUGAGGCGUGGCUUCCGGAGCUAACGCGUUAAGUCGACCGCCUGGGGAGUACGGCCGCAAGGUUAAAACUCAAAUGAAUUGACGGGGGCCCGCACAAGCGGUGGAGCAUGUGGUUUAAUUCGAUGCAACGCGAAGAACCUUACCUGGUCUUGACAUCCACGGAAGUUUUCAGAGAUGAGAAUGUGCCUUCGGGAACCGUGAGACAGGUGCUGCAUGGCUGUCGUCAGCUCGUGUUGUGAAAUGUUGGGUUGAGUCCCGCAACGAGCGCAACCCUUAUCCUUUGUUGCCAGCGGUCCGGCCGGGAACUCAAAGGAGACUGCCAGUGAUAAACUGGAGGAAGGUGGGGAUGACGUCAAGUCAUCAUGGCCCUUACGACCAGGGCUACACACGUGCUACAAUGGCGCAUACAAAGAGAAGCGACCUCGCGAGAGCAAGCGGACCUCAUAAAGUGCGUCGUAGUCCGGAUUGGAGUCUGCAACUCGACUCCAUGAAGUCGGAAUCGCUAGUAAUCGUGGAUCAGAAUGCCACGGUGAAUACGUUCCCGGGCCUUGUACACACCGCCCGUCACACCAUGGGAGUGGGUUGCAAAAGAAGUAGGUAGCUUAACCUUCGGGAGGGCGCUUACCACUUUGUGAUUCAUGACUGGGGUGAAGUCGUAACAAGGUAACC
rnacentral:rRNA from 1 species